AACGAACGCUGGCGGCAGGCCUAACACAUGCAAGUCGAGCGAGACCUUCGGGUCUAGCGGCGGACGGGUUAGUAACGCGUGGGAAUAUACCCAAUGGUAGGGAAUAGCCUCUGGAAACGGAGAGUAAUACCCUAUGAGCCCUUCGGGGGAAAGAUUUAUCGCCAUUGGAUUAGCCCGCGUUGGAUUAGGUAGUUGGUGGGGUAAUGGCCUACCAAGCCGACGAUCCAUAGCUGGUUUGAGAGGAUGAUCAGCAACACUGGGACUGAGACACGGCCCAG
rnacentral:rRNA from 1 species